rnacentral:misc_RNA from 1 species
GAUGAAGAACGCAGCGAAAUGCGAUAAGUAAUGUGAAUUGCAGAAUUCAGUGAAUCAUCGAAUCUUUGAACGCACAUUGCGCCCUCUGGUAUUCCGGGGGACAUGCCUAUUCGAGCGUCAUUAUAACCACUCAAGCUCUCGCUUGGUAUUGGGGUUCGCGGUUUCGCGGCCCCUAAAAUCAGUGGCGGUGCCUGUCGGCUCUACGCGUAGUAAUACUUCUCGCGAUUGAGUUCGAUAGGUCUACUUGCCAGUAACCCCCAAUUUUUACAGGUUGACCUCGGAUCAGGUAGGGAUACCCGCUGAACUUAAGCAUAUCAAUAGCGGAGGA